UACGAAGGGGGCUAGCGUUGUUCGGAAUUACUGGGCGUAAAGCGCGUGUAGGCGGGCCGUUAAGUCGGGGGUGAAAGCCCAGAGCUCAACUCUGGAAUUGCCUUCGAUACUGGCGGCCUGGAGCAUGAUAGAGGCGAGUGGAAUUGCGAGUGUAGAGGUGAAAUUUGUAGAUAAUCGCCGGAACACCAGUGGCGAAGGCGACUCGCUUGAUCAUUGCUGACUCUGAGACGCGACAGCGUGGGGAGCAAACAGG
rnacentral:rRNA from 1 species